rnacentral:rRNA from 1 species
GGGGGGGGCGGGGGGGGGGCCGGGGAGAGGCGGGGCGGAGGGGAGGGGCGGGGGGGGGGGCGCGGGGGGGGGUGGCGCGUGGGGAGCUGCCCGUAGGUUCGGGAUAACUCCCCGAAAGGGGGGCUAAUGCCGGAGACUGUCUGCGGACCAAAGAUUUAUCGCCUUUGGAUGGGCCCGCGUUGGAUUCGCUAGUUGGUAGGGUAAAAGCCUACCAAGGCGACGAUCCAUAGCUGGUCUGAGAGGAUGAUCCGCCACACUGGGACUGAGACACGGCCCAGACUCCUACGGGAGGCAGCAGUGGGGAAUAUUGGACAAUGGGCGAAAGCCUGAUCCAGCAAUGCCGCGUGAGUGAUGAAGGCCUUAGGGUUGUAAAGCUCUUUUACCCGGGAUGAUAAUGACAGUACCGGGAGAAUAAGCUCCGGCUAACUCCGUG